CCUACGGGAGGCAGCAGUGAGGAAUAUUGGUCAAUGGACGAGAGUCUGAACCAGUCAAGUCGCGUGAAGGAUGACUGCUCUAUGGGUUGUAAACUUCUUUUAUAUGGGAAUAAAACGUUCCACGUGUGGGUUUUUGUCUGUACCUUAUGAAUAAGGAUCGGCUAACUCCGUGCCAGCAGCCGCGGUAAUACGGAGGAUCCGAGCGUUAUCCGGAUUUAUUGGGUGUAAAGGGAGCGUAGGUGGAUUGUUAAGUCAGUUGUGAAAGUUUGCGGCGCAACCGUAGAAUUGCAGUUGAAACUGGCAGUCUUGAGUGCAGUAGAGGUAGGCGGAAUUCGUGGUGUAGCGGUGAAAUGCUUAGAUAUCACGAAGAACACCGGUGGCGAAGGCAGUUCACUGGACUGCAACUGACACUGAGGCUCGAAAGUGUGGGUAUCAAACAGGAUUAGAUACCCUGGUAGUC
rnacentral:rRNA from 1 species